AAGUGUUACAGCUCCUUUAGAAUUUGUCUAGCAGGUUUGCCUGUCCUCACUGGAAGAGCCCCC
rnacentral:snRNA from 1 species